AAAAGAAACUGUCUUGGAGGGGGGGGGGGGGGGCUGAACAGGUUACCCCUUAGGAUGCUGGAUAAACCCAUCUAGUACUGAUUUUAUGUUUUAUUCCAUUAUUAUCAAUAGCAUCCCAUGCUAGAAGUCCUCGGGGGUGCAUCUAAAAUUGGUGAAGGUUUAAAUGGUUGUUGUAAUGCUAGCGGGUCAGUAUUAACAGGCAUUUGUAAUUUAGAAACUUUUUGAAUACAGUGGACGGGCAAUGAUGGAGAAUCCAGGUACAUGUUUUCUCCAAUAUCCUAAAGUACCCAUUAGAAGUUGUAAUUCUUUUCUAGAUUGUGGCAUUUCUGAUUGUUCUAUUUUAUUUAGAGUAUCUGGUGGGAUUGCUGCACUUCCAGC